AUUGAACGCUGGCGGCAUGCCUUACACAUGCAAGUCGAACGGCAGCACGGGAGCAAUCCUGGUGGCGAGUGGCGAACGGGUGAGUAAUAUAUCGGAACGUGCCCAGUCGUGGGGGAUAACGUAGCGAAAGCUACGCUAAUACCGCAUACGAUCUAUGGAUGAAAGCGGGGGAUCGCAAGACCUCGCGCGAUUGGAGCGGCCGAUAUCAGAUUAGGUAGUUGGUGAGGUAAAGGCUCACCAAGCCAACGAUCUGUAGCUGGUCUGAGAGGACGACCAGCCACACUGGAACUGAGACACGGUCCAGACUCCUACGGGAGGCAGCAGUGGGGAAUUUUGGACAAUGGACGCAAGGUCUGAUCCAGCCAUUCCGCGUGCAGGAUGAAGGCCCUCGGGUUGUAAACUGCUUUUUGUACGGAACGAAAGGUUUGUCUUAAUACGAUGAGCUCAUGACGGUACCGUAAGAAUAAGCACCGGC
rnacentral:rRNA from 1 species